rnacentral:rRNA from 1 species
GACGAACGCUGGCGGCGUGCCUAAUACAUGCAAGUCGAACGCACGAAGUUGAAGAGCUUGCUCUUUAACCAAGUGAGUGGCGGACGGGCGAGUAACACGUGGGUAACCUGCCCAUUAGAGGGGGAUAACAUUCGGAAACGGAUGCUAAUACCGCAUAGUUUCAGGAAUCGCAUGAUUCUUGAAGGAAAGGUGGCUUCGGCUACCACUAAUGGAUGGACCCGCGGCGUAUUAGCUAGUUGGUGAGGUAAUGGCUCACCAAGGCAAUGAUACGUAGCCGACCUGAGAGGGUGAUCGGCCACACUGGGACUGAGACACGGCCCAGACUCCUACGGGAGGCAGCAGUAGGGAAUCUUCCGCAAUGGACGAAAGUCUGACGGAGCAACGCCGCGUGAGUGAAGAAGGUUUUCGGAUCGUAAAACUCUGUUGUUAAAGAAGAACAAGGAUGAGAGUAACUGCUCAUCCCCUGACGGUAUUUAACCAGAAAGCCACGGCUAACUACGUGCCAGCAGCCGCGGUAAUACGUAGGUGGCAAGCGUUGUCCGGAUUUAUUGGGCGUAAAGCGAGCGCAGGCGGUUCUUUAAGUCUGAUGUGAAAGCCCCCGGCUCAACCGGGGAGGGUCAUUGGAAACUGGAGAACUUGAGUGCAGAAGAGGAGAGUGGAAUUCCACGUGUAGCGGUGAAAUGCGUAGAUAUGUGGAGGAACACCAGUGGCGAAGGCGACUCUCUGGUCUGUAACUGACGCUGAGGCUCGAAAGCGUGGGGAGCAAACAGG